GCGCCCGUAGCUCAACGGAUAGAGCAUCUGACUACGGAUCAGAAGGUUAGGAGUUCGAAUCUCUUCGGGCGCACAA
rnacentral:tRNA from 1 species